rnacentral:lncRNA from 1 species
AAUGUUUCUGAAAAUAUUUCAUUUGUUCUGACAAUGACAAUUUUUGCUGUGAAAUCUGCCGGUUAUUACACCUCACCUUUUGGAAUAAGUGUGCAGGUGGGGAGAUGCUGCAGCUCUUUUCUGUGCUAAAAGAAGGGUGAGAGGCAAGUGGAAGAAGAGAAUUGCUAUUGUUUCUAUAACGUGUGGGGAAAAAAAAAAAAAAGAGAGACAUAUGUUCUGAAAAAAGUUGAAAUCUCAUUAAUUUGAACUAGCAUGACAAUGAGGACAUUGUAACCCCAUCACCUACAUCUUUCACACAGAGUCAAUAAAAUAUCAAGGAUAGAAAAAAAUCCUAUAUAUUUCUUUGCUUAAUCAUUCUUUCCUGCAGCUCUGAAUGCAAACCAGAACUGUUAACAUCCAAAGCAAUUCUUUCCUGUCAAAUGCCGUUGGAAUGAGUUCCUGCAGAGAAGCUUCUUUGUUCUACAGAAAGGUUGGGGAGUGUUACUGGCUACUUGGAAACAAAGCUUCAGCUGCUUAG